CAGCAACGCGUGGGGGAGGCUGCCUCGGCCUCCGGGGCACUCCUCAUUGGCCCUGGCCACCCCACCCUGUCUCCUCAAACACUGCCCCUGUGCGACCUAGACGCGCAGCGGGGCCUGGAUCAGGGUCACAGUGAGCACGCACCAGCCCUCCCCUGGGGGCCCUGGAGGGCUGGUGGGCUCAGGGCCCAGCUGUGAACUCUGGGGUGUCCCCAGCCCCCAGCAUGUGCAGCAGGCUCCUGCCCAAGGAGCAUCCUUAGUAAAUGGGGCUCAGGCUGCAGAGUGUGCAGCCUGCGGCAGGACCCUGUCCCCGCUGGCGUGGCACACCUUUUAGGCGGGUCUCUGCAGUUAGCCGUCACAGCAAAGCACCCUGAACCCUGAGGCAGUCAAGGGGGCCGAUAUUGAGGAGCUGGGCCCCUCCCGAUGCUCCAGGGCAGAGGCUAGACACGGGCCCACGUUCCCUACUGGCUCAGGACUUAAGAAGGUAGGGGGUGGGAUUCACAGGCUAGACUUCGGGGGUCUUACAGUUCUGCACUGAUGAGGGUUUUCAUCCUGAACCCGUUUCUGGAAGCCUGGAUACAUCCUGCUGUGUGUGUGUGUCCCGGGGUGACUGGUGCUGAUGACAGCGGUCUGCGGGCCGAUGAGAGGUCUGUGAACCAAGGUGAUGGGGAUGACAGGGACAGCGAGGACAGUGAGGACGGCGAGCCCCCUUGCGCUGUGAUCCCCGUGCACCCAGAUGCCUGCCUGCUCCCGGAUGACACUCUUUGCGCUUUCACUGUGGUUGAUGACAUGCUUGUCACCCUGGCACAGGGCCCUGCCCGGUGGAAGGUACAGCUGUCUGAGUGCCCCUGUCCAGGGGAGGGCGCCAGACCCAGAGGCCACAUUGGCGAGGUGGAGUUGUCCACCUCCAGCCCCCUGGCUGGGGCCCCCGGGGAGCCCGCAGCCCCCCGCAUCCUCCCAGUGCUGUGCUGUGCGUCUCCUCCGGGCAGUAGUGCUCUGCAGACCCGUACGCGGGGCUCCAGGGGCUUCUCGCUGGAACAGGCCCUCUUUGGGCUACUCUUUGGAGUUGAUGCCUCCCUUCUAGAAUCACCAGUGAUCCUCUGUGGUCUCCCCGAUGGCCAGCUCUGCUGUGUGGUCUUGAAGACCCUGGUCACCUCAAGGUUGUCCCCAGGCGACCCGAAGGCCCUUGUCAAGAUCCUCCAUCACCUGGAGGAACCCGUCGUUCUCAUUGGGGCCUUGAAGACAGAGUCGUUGCCCGAGGACGCGGAGGACACACACCCUGACUGCCUAGUGGCACUUGGUCACGGUGGCCGGAUCCUGGCCAUUAAGGCCAGCUGGGACAAGGCAGGGACUCUGGUCCCAGAGCUACAGGAGUACCAGCUGCCGGGGCCUGUGCUCUGUGCGGUCUGUGGCGGGGGGGGCUGUGUGUACCAUAGCACCCCCUCGGAGCUCUGUGUCGUGGACCUGGCUCGGGGACGUGCCCCCGAGGGGGGCCCGGGAGGCCUGCCGUCUCUGCUGUGUCCAGCUGGUUUAGGCAUCUGCAGCGUCGUCACCCUCUCUGUGUCCUCCGAGGUGCCCGAAGGUGGUGCCAGGCUCCUGGCCCUGUCCGCCAGGGGCCGCCUGAUGACCUGCAGCCUGGACCUGCGCUCUGAGGUGCCGUGCCCCACCAGAGCUGCUAUGGCUGAUACUGGCCAAAAGAUUAAGGAAUUGCUUUCUGGAAUCGGCACCGUCUCUGAGAGAGUGUCUUCUCUGAAGAAGGCAGUUGACCAGCGGAACAAGGCCCUGACGUGCCUCAACGAAGCGAUGAACGUGAGCUGCGUCCUGCUGGCCGGCCGGGAGGGCGCCAGGCCCAUCUCGUGCACCACCACCACCGCCUGGAGCCGCCUGCAGCCGCAGGACGUGCUGACGGCCACCUGCCGGCUGGAGAACAACAGUGGCCUCAGUCUGGACCGGGGCUGGGCCUUGUGCGUGCAGGUGCUGACCACCCCCGCCUCGGACCCAGACGCGGCUGGCUCGGCCACCACCUACACCAUCCCCGUGGACCGGCUGGGCCCUGGCGAUCGGCGGGAGGUGACGCUGCCCCUGGGCCCUGGGGAGGAUGGCGCCCUGGACCUGCCCCUGACCGUGUCCUGCGCACUACACUACAGCCUCAGGGAGGUUGUGGGCGGGGCCCUCGCCCCCUCGGAGUCUUUCACGGACCCCUCUCUGGAUGAGUGCCUCUCUGACGUCUUGCCUGAGCAGGACGGCAUCUGCCUGCCCCUGAGCGAGCACACUGUGGACAUGCUGCAGUGUCUGUGCUUUCCUGGCCUGGCCACACCCCACACGCAGGCCCCCGGGCUGCUCGGCCCCGUGAGCGACUCUGUGGACACCUUCUUGGGAUCUCUCGGGCCACGCAGCGAGCCGGCGGGACCUGCUUCCCUGCGGGCCAAGUUCCUGCCCCCAUCGGUGGCCACGAUCAAGGUGUCCGCAGAGCUUCUGAGGGCCGCCUUGGGGGACAGUCACGCAGCAGGCACGUCCCUGGGCUGUGCCACCCUGCAGUGGCUCCUCGCUGAGAACACGGCCCUGGAUGUCGUGCGGGCCCGACGGCUGUCCUCGGUCCAGGGAGUGGCCCCAGAUGGCACUGACCUGCACCUUACCAUCCGAGAGGUGACUGUGACCCACCUGUGCACAGCAGGGCCCAUGCAGACCGUGGAGAUCCAGGUGGAGAGCUCCUCUCUGUCUAGCUUGUGCAGUGCACACCACGCGGUCAUCGGGCGGCUGCAGAGGAUGGUUGUGGAGCACGCUGCCCAGAGCUCCAGCCCACCUGACCUCCGUGUGCAGUGUCUCCGCCAGAUCCAUAUCAACCACGAGACACUGCUGCAGGAGGUGCGGGCCCUUCGGGACCGGCUGUGCACGGAGGACGAAGCCAGCUCCUGUGGCACUGCCGAGAGGCUCCUGCAGGUGUACGGGCAGCUCCGGAGCCCCAGCCUCCUCCUGCUGUGACGCCUCGUGGGCCCCGCGCCCGCCCCCGCCACAAGCCAGGCGCCCCCGUGGCUUUACGGAGACAAGCCCAGGGCACCAGAGGCUGCUUCCCGCCGCCUGACCCUGGCUGUGGCUGUGGGGUGGGGGAAGGCAGCCGCCCACGGCUCCCGCGGCACCUGGUCGAGCUGGGCAGUCUGGCCUGGAGCACUGGGGCUGGAUCAGCGGCCUCCCCUCCCCGCAGAAGUCGGGCCGCGGACAAGGUUUCUGGGGUCGGGACUUGCGGGUUUGCGUCUCUGACUGUUGCUGUUCCCACCGCCCCGCUGCCCGCCCACCCACGCCCACCACGCGCAGACCCCUUCGUCCCCCUCGGGGCCCCUCAGCCCUGCGUCUGUGCUGCUGCUGAGGCCACCAGCUGGGACGCCGCUCCCUGUGGCUCCCACCCUCACCCGGUAGGUGCUCCCAGCCGGGGCUGCGCCCAGCGCCCAGCGCCCAGCACUGUGCAUUGUUUCCAGGGCCCCUCACGGUGGGCUGCAGCCCCCCAGCUGCCUCCCUCCGGUGCUGGCGCAGCUAGCAGUGGGGGGCUGACCCCCGUUCGGACUUGACAUGGUGCCGUUGUGCGCGUGCGGGAGGCGCGAGGCUCCUCUGCCGCAGAACAAGUGUGCUCUCGGGCCGAGCUGCCUCGGCUUCUGGGUGUGUGUGUGUUUGGGGCGGCAGCUCUGAGCUGCAUUUCUGGGCCCCCCCAGGGGUAUGCUCGGAUGAACCUUGCCUUGGUCUUUCCGUGGUCGUGGGGGCUGGUAGGGGGUCUCCCAGCACUGGGGCGAAGUGCCCACCUGGCCUGCGGGGCACGCGAGUCCCUCGUCCCCAAGGAGGGAGGGGCCAGUGGGGAGUCCGGGUCCGAGUCGGGAGAGUGGGCGGCCGCCACACAGCUUGCACGCUGGAGAUUGGGCGGUGGUGGGCACGGCUGCGGGGUGUGGGCCGAGCAGCACUGGAAGCACGUCCCCAGCCCGGGGCUUCACUGCCCCUGGGCCCCACCGUCCCGCUCCCCACACGGGCAGCCUCGCUCCUGCCUCCUGCCGACAGGAUAACCCUGGAGAGGUGUGAGCACGGGUCCUCCCGGGGCGGAGACACAGCAGUGGGGAGGGGCGCUCCCCCUGCCUGCUGGCAGGAGGCCGCUGGUGGGGCGGGGUGGGGGCAGGGCAGUCACUGGGGGCCCGCCACCUAGUCUCCAGAAAAGGAGACCCAUGACCCGGACACCUAAGCAGCUGAGAGGAGAUAAAGUGGAAUCUUGUGAAACCUCCGUGAAUGAGGGGAGACGGGUGGGGGGUAAGGACAAAUGGGACACAGGCCGGAGCUUCCCUGGGAGCCUCGUGCUGGGGUGCCCGGUCAGCGCCCCAUCGGGGACGGGACGCCACACUGAGCACCAGGGGUCCCUCAGCCAGCCUCUGCUGCGCGUGGCUCACCAUCCCCCACACAGCUCCGGCCCGCCAGAGGAUGGCCUCCGCGCAGUCCCAGCCUCUCUCCUCCCACCCCAGCUGGCCCCUCUGGGGACCCCUGGGGCACGCCUCCCUGCCUCCACUCCCCUGCUCAGCAAGGGUCUGAGGCCAAGUGCACCCUCUGGCAGAGGUCAGCAGAGGGGAGUCCUCACACUGAUGACUGGCGGCAAGCCCUGGGCGGGUGAGCCCCCAACCCUCCCGCCCUGGGCGCCACUAGGGGGCAGCACAGGCUGUGGCUCAGGCAGCCACCUGUCCCCUCUGCAGCCUCUGGGCUCUGGUGUCUGGUCCUCGAAGGGUUAACUAAGCCCCCCUUGACCAGGGGGCCCACUUGGGUCCAGCUCCUCUGUCCUUAAGGUGGGGGUGGGGGGUGGGCAGUGAGGUCAGGAGCAGGCGCGGCUGAGGAGGGUGCUGGGGAGAGGCUGGGGGGGGGGGGGGGGUCCCUUCCUCCCCACUCUGAUUGUGCACAUCCGCUCUGCACUCCCUUCCUCGCACGCUCUUCCCAAAGCGCCCCAGUCCCGGCUGGACCACGCUGGCUGGCUGGACUCACUGGAGGCGGUUUUCAGGCCCCAGGCACGGGGAGGGACUUGGGCUUAGGGACCGGGCAUCUGGUCUCAUCCUCCCUUCAGGCCCUAGGCCACAUGGCCGUGUCCUGACCCCUCCCCCAGCCCCCAGGUUCCACGUCUCCCACUCGGCUCUCUGAUGGCCUGGGUCACCCAGCCCAGCCAAGAGGCACUGGCCUGGGUGGGGGUCUUUGGGGGCUGGGAGUGCCUGGAUGCCAGCUGGUGGACCACAGACCUUAUCUUGGCAUCCAGCCUGCUUGGGGCAAGGUGGGUGGGGGCUCUCCGGGGUCUGCGGCUGGGGGGGUGAGAGCCACGCGUGGGGUGGGAGUGGGAGACCUGGAGCUUCCUGUCUGGGCUGAGAGGGGCCUUCUCCCCGGGGUUGGCCACUCACACCGUGUUUGGGAGGGGUGGGGUCGCUUUCGCCUCAGGUGCGCGGGGGAUUCCCUAAGACCCUGCCCCUGGGGCGGAGAGCCAUGGGGGGUACGUCACCCCCAGACCCUGUGAGCGGCUCCCCCCACCCCAGUUCCGCUCGGUCUCCGGGAGCAGCUGUGUGGCGCCCGCACAGGGCGGGGGCGGGGCCCAGGGGGUGCCGGGGUGCCCCUGCCCAGGAAGGGACGGGGUGGGGCGGGGGUGUCCGCCCGCUGGACCCGCCUCCCGGCCACGCUCGCCUGCGCUGGGUGUCCUGCGCUGAGGGAUGGGGAGGUGGAGGGCCACGGCCGGGACCCCCAGGGCAGAGGCGCUGGCCCUCCCCGCGCGAGCGGCGCCACGGAGCCCGCCAGCCGCUGCGUCACAGACACGGUUUAAUGGGGGGACGGGCGCGCCACCCGCUCAGUACUCCCAGAGCGCGACCCCGGCCGGCGUGUCCGCGUCCGCGCGCAGCAGCCCGGAGGCGCCUCCGCGCAGGUACUUGCCGCUCCCCGCGCGGAUGGCCAGGCGUCCGCGCUCGCGGAAC